rnacentral:rRNA from 1 species
CCUGAGAAACCCAAAAGAUCGAAUGGGGAGAUUCAUCGUCAGCGCAUUUUGUAUAUCUGUAAGUUGUGAUGCGGGUUACUUUCGAGUAUUGCCUGCACAUUCUUACAUUGGAUUUAGUUGCAAGAUGUCGUCGGCGUGCACUUCUCCCCUAGUAGGACGUCGCGACCCGUUGGGUGUCGGUCUACGGCCCAAGUGUGUAGCCUUUAAUAUUUUAUUAUAUUGAAGACCCUUGGUGUUUUCUGACCGACUGGUCGGCGGUACUCGUACGGUAUUUAGCCGCAUAUUAUAUGCGUCCAUAUCCGUCACAAGCGAGGUUUUUGAUUUCAGUAGUACGGACCUAGUGCCGUCGCUGUAUCUAAUCCGCUGUUGGUUGUACGGUAUUCUAGGACUGGCUAUUAUUAUUACCGGUCGCCGAUGCUACUGCUUUGGGUACUUUCAGGACCCGUCUUGAAACACGGACCAAGGAGUCUAACAUGUGCGCGAGUCAUUGGGAUUUUUUAAAAAUUAAACCUAAAGGCGUAAUGAAAGUAAAGAUCGGCCUUGUGUCGAUUGAGGGAGGAUGAAUUGUAUGAUUAACAUGCAGUUCCGCACUCCCGGGGCGUCUCAUUCUCAUUAUGAGAAGAGGAGCACCUAG